rnacentral:rRNA from 1 species
AGUGAACGCUGGCGGUAGGCCUAACACAUGCAAGUCGAACGGCAGCACAGUAAGAGCUUGCUCUUACGGGUGGCGAGUGGCGGACGGGUGAGGAAUACAGCGGAAUCUACUUUUUCGUGGGGGAUAACGUAGGGAAACUUACGCUAAUACCGCAUACGACCUACGGGUGAAAGCAGGGGAUCUUCGGACCUUGCGCGAUUGAAUGAGCCGAUGUCGGAUUAGCUAGUUGGCGGGGUAAAGGCCCACCAAGGCGACGAUCCGUAGCUGGUCUGAGAGGAUGAUCAGCCACACUGGAGCUGAGACACGGUCCAGACUCCUACGGGAGGCAGCAGUGGGGAAUAUUGGACAAUGGGCGCAAGCCUGCUCCAGCCAUACCGCGUGGGUGAAGAAGGCCUUCGGGUUGUAAAGCCCUUUUGUUGGGAAAGAAAAGCAGCAGGUUAAUAUCCCGCUGUUCUGACGGUAGCCAAAGAAUAAGCACCGGCUAACUUCGUG